AUAGCAGUGGGAAUCCUCUGCAGGCUCUGGGAAAACAGUAGACGCAAACAUGUGAAAUUACAGCACUAGAAUACAACGUUCUGUAUGUAUCUUGGUAAAUAUGAGUAUAUAAGUAAACUGAAGAUUGAAUACGAUUCAAAAUCUGCAUUCUUGCAAGACGUAUCUUCUGUAUGAAAUUUGGACAUUUGAGAUUUGCAAGGCAUUAGAAGAUUUUAAGAUUAGAACAUUUGAAGAAAACAGAUGGCCUCAUCUUAUUUAAUUUAAUUAAAUUUAUUUAGUAUGGAGAAGGGAGAAGGCUAACUGUCUCCAGCAUAAAAGCUCUGUAAAUACAUUAGCUCCUGAGAAGCCUGCAAUUUGAACACUGCCACUUUGCUUUUUAGAUGAAUUAGGUGUUGUCUUCUUUCAUUCUAUAUAAAUGGUGAGGCAGAAUAACUUCUGAAGUUCUUUUAAUACAGAAGGAUGCACAGGUAUUCAGCCUUGUAUUGCAGGAACGUUACUAUUUAACAGUGAAAGUGCAAUUCAGACCUAUCUUUCACCUUCAUGUUGUCUUAGACAAUCCCAAAGAUCUAUUUUCAAUUCAAAAAUAUCUUCAAUAUAGAGUUACUUAACAGUAUGAAUGUCUCCCUCACCUUGCAUGCAUGAUGAAAAGUAUUGCACAAUCUUGGAUUGUGAGUUGGACUGGGUUCAGAGUGUGCAGAGGAGCAUGUGUUAUGUUUCUGUACUCCUCGUUAUACCAGUCAACAUCUACAUGUUGACUUGUAUUUUUAGAUAACAACCUAGGGGAAGUCCUUGCAGCAGAGAAUUAUAGGUUUCUAUUGCAAUGGUUCUUGUUUCCUAAUCUGUUUGAGAUAAAUUUCACACUGUUCUUAGCAAGGCAAUGUGCACUCCACAGUUCAAGAUUCUGUGCUGUAGUUUUCUUGUAUCAGUUUUUCUUCAAGAUGACUGUAUGACUAGAUCCUGUGUUGUUGUUUGUUUGUUUGUGUUUUUGUUUGUUUGUUUGUUUUUCUCAUGCUUAUUCCUAGAUUCAGAAAUGUUAAGAAGAGAAGAAUACCUACAGUCUUCAAAUCUGAGCUCCUCUGUGUGCGGACCAUGGUCAGUUAACCCAUUCUAUCUGCAUUUGCACUGAAUCAGACAAAUUCCAGUGUUCCAACCGGCCUCUCCGUGGACCAUUCACAGAUCCUUCAUUUUCUCAGCCAAACUUAAAGGUAAACAUUCCUUCUGUAGAAAUGUUCGGUCCAGUCUGUAUAUAUGCAUAUUCAGCUUCACUUCUUUCAGUAGCUGGGGCUUUUUUUUGAGGAAAGUUAAGUCCCAUAAGAACAAAGGAAAUUUUGAAGGGUAGACUAUAUAAAAAAUGUUAUUAACAGUACACAGCAGAAAUAUAAUUUAAAUGCUUUCUCUGCUCAUGACAACAGAUUGCAUAUUAUAUGUUUAUUACCAUUUACCUGCUAUAACUGCAAUCCUCAUUUGUUCACAAUGAUGGUAUAUUUACAGUCAUGCAAUAGCUUGUUUAGGCCAAAUAUAGGUCAUUACAUUUCUGUGAAGUACUCAACACUUUGUGGCUUUAUAUGCUGAUCUCUCCUCUCUUGGCUUAAAUUAUUUCAUACUAACAUAUGCAAAUUUUCCCUUUCUCUCUC
rnacentral:lncRNA from 1 species